AGGGCACGAGGAGAAAGGGCAGGAGCCCCCCUGGGGGGCUCUGGCCCCCCAACCCCCGGCUGGAGGGCUCCAGGGACUUGGAACAGUAUAAGACCGUGCUAAGUGUCUGUAGCUGAGCCGGGGGAUGUUUCUCCACUGUGAGCCGCAGCAAAAGAUACUGAAAAGCGGCGGCAGAGCAGCAGUGGAUGGAGAAAGUGGCAGAGAGCCAGAAGAGAUAAGACCGAGCAGCAACAACAGGCAUGCAGCAACACAGAGAGAACUCCUGGAAGGAGAGAGAGAAAGAGAAAGAGAGCCAGCAGCAGAGAGAGCAAGACUAAGCUCUACAGACAGAGACAGAGUUCUGGGAUGCUGAACUAAGACAUAGAAGAAGUCCAGACUCAGGUUGUGGGAGUUGAAUGAAGAGGAGAUUCUGUCAGCAAGUCACUUCUGAAGUUAAGGUGGGACAAUUCAAUGAAGGAAUAAAGGCAGAAUACUGGAGGUGAGAAAAUGAAGAUUGAAAGGAGAGCCUCGGAUUUAGCAUUCUUCCUGACUCUAAGCAGAUAUGGACUUAAUGAACUGUUUAAGAAUAUGCAUUUUGGAUUUUGGGUUGUGUUUCACAUUUUGUUGUAUGAUUUCCCAUGUUCUGUACUUUAAGUUCUAGUAAUUUCCUUUAUCCCUCAUGGCCAUGAGUCCUGUUUUCCCAUUGGUUGUUAUUUGAUGCAGUGCAGCACUUUCCCUAUAUGGUUAUGACAUCCCCUUAGUUUGCAUGCUCCUCCCUAACUCCUCCCCAGUUACACCCUCUUGCUAGAAUGCUCUCACCUUACCCUAUAGAAGGCAGGAGCCAUUUUGAGUGAGUUAGUCAAUAAAGGCUUUUCUUCUCACCAUCAA